CUGACUACGCCUGUACGGAGAGAGGUCCGGGUUCGAACCUGCAAUAAAGUGAUCCCGGCCGCUUGGCUUUGACUUCGGUUUCUGGUGGUCGUCUUUGAGGGGGGUCUCGGAACUCAGGGCACAACAAACUUUGGUGCUGUGACUCAGAUUGGGGGACCUCCCUUGGGAGACCAAUCCCCUGUCCUUCUGCUCUUUGCUCUAUGAGAAAGAUUCACCUAUGACCUCUGGCCCUCAGACUAACCAGCCCAAGGAACAUCUCACCAAUUUUAAAUCCGGACCCCACUAGAUAUUGGACUGUCCAACUCGCCGGCAGCCACUCCUACAGCCCCUAAAGCUCUAGCCCAAGGCUCUCUGACUGACUCCUUCCCAGAUCUGCUUGGUUUAGUGGCUGAAGACUGACGCUGCCCGGUCGCCUUGGAAGCCCCCUGGACCAUCACAGACACUGAGCUUUGGGUAAUUCUUACAGUGGAGGGACACAGUUGGAGAAAGUGGUUAUUUUUUACCAAGGCUUUGACUGGAAUGUUGUGCUUUCUUUUAAGAAAUCAAACUCAACUUGUAGAGCCAAUAAAAGCUCCUUGGGAAAACUGACAUCAUACCUUAUCUACAUAGUCCCUGUACAGGGUUUCUGACCUGUGACUGACCCUGCUCAUUCCAACCAAUGAUUCCUGCAGCUCAGAAGAAACAAGACGGCUGGCUAAUAUAAAAAUCUGGAUCAGAGUUCUAAUUCUGGGCACAUUGGAAUCAGACCUCAGUUGCUAAUGACAAUGGAGUUAUACCAGUUUCCAAAACUGGGCCAACUUUAUAGAAGUCAAAGAAAGAGCAAAAUAUGGGCACAUUUAAACAACUACUAAUAACAAAAGGAUUCAAACGAAGCUCCAUAUUGCUAAAAGGAAUCUCUUAUACAGGUGAUGCAGGGAGGUCAAGAGAGUCCCCUAAUCACCACCCAGGAAGUGCUGGAGUAAGACCUUGACCUGGGCCUGCUUUCCCAAGGCCUAUGCUCUCUGCUCCACGUCAUCUUGAUGGCCUGCAGCAUGGAGCUCUAGAGUCUCCCUUGUUAUAUCACAUCAAGGAACGAUUGGGUGCAAUUUUUCCUAAAGGGAGGCUGGCCAUAUGAAUUUACUUGGAAGGGUCCCAGAUACUGUCCUCCAAUUUGUCUUUCCAAAUUGAUUUGGAUGACAAAUUACAUGGUUUUCAUAUCAAUGGUCCGUGACACUCCCUUUCUCCAGGGUCUUGGAGAUAAGACUCCAAUUUGGUCUGAAACUUACCACCAGGGAUAAAACCUGAGGCCAGACAGGCUGCCCCUGCAACUAUAUUUGAUGCAGCCCAAGGGUAACGGCGGCCGAUGCGAUCGAUGGUGAGGAUGACCAUGAAGGCAGCCGGGAAUUCAACCAGGGCAGAGUAGAAGAAUUCCAGGAAACCAGAAGACCAAGUGAGUCCAGCUUCCCUUCUUGAUGACUUCUCUUCUGGCCUGACACAAACAACAUUUGGACAAUGUUUCUAGUUUAUUAACUAAAAAUGGUCUUUAUGUAUAAUGGAAAAUAUGAGGAUAAUCAACAAAAGUCACGAUUACUCAGAAAAGGAAAGAAGGAUAAUGAGGCCGAAUUUCAAAGCUGCUUCUCCUGUGCACUAUUGCAAAGGUUGCUAAAUGAAUUCCUGAUGAGCUUUGUUUUUGUCAGUGAUUGUAAAUCUCCAUUUGCCUGGGAGAUCCAAUGUGCCCCGAAAAGAUGCAUUCCCCACUAGAGAAAGCAUGGCUCAAAGCUCUGAGAGCAGCCUGUAGAUAGCAAACACAAUAAAGAUCAAGUCACUGGGCUGUGAAGCCACUGGAAUUACUCUUGGGAAUUAUUAUUGUUCAGAAAUUUAUUUUUUCUCUAGGUAGAAAAGAAAAAAGGAAAGAAAAGG